GACGAACGCUGGCGGCGUGCCUAAUACAUGCAAGUUGAGCGCUGAAGGGUGGAACUUGUUCCGACUGGAUGAGCAGCGAACGGGUGAGUAACGCGUGGGUAAUCUGCCUUUGAGCGGGGGACAACAUUUGGAAACGAAUGCUAAUACCGCAUAAAAAUUUUAAACACAUGUUUUAAGUUUGAAAGAUGCAAUUGCUUCACUCAAAGAUGAUCCCGCGUUGUAUUAGCUAGUUGGUGAGGUAAAGGCUCACCAAGGCGAUGAUACAUAGCCGACCUGAGAGGGUGAUCGGCCACAUUGGGACUGAGACACGGCCCAAACUCCUACGGGAGGCAGCAGGAGGGAAUCUUCGGCAAUGGGCGAAAGGCUGACCGAGCAACGCCGCGUGAGUGAAGAAGGGUUUCGGAUCGUAAAAAUCUGUUGGUAGGGAAGAACGUUGGUGAGAGUGGAAAGCUCAUCAAGUGACGGUAACUACCCAGAAAGGGACGGCUAACUACGUG
rnacentral:rRNA from 1 species